rnacentral:rRNA from 1 species
CCUACGGGUGGCUGCAGUGGGGAAUAUUGGACAAUGGGGGGAACCCUGAUCCAGCCAUGCCGCGUGUGUGAAGAAGGCCCUCGGGUUGUAAAGCACUUUCAGUGAGGAAGAACGCCUGGUGGUUAAUACCCAUCAGGAAAGACAUCACUCACAGAAGAAGCACCGGCUAACUCCGUGCCAGCAGCCGCGGUAAUACGGAGGGUGCGAGCGUUAAUCGGAAUUACUGGGCGUAAAGCGCGCGUAGGUGGCUUGAUAAGCCGGUUGUGAAAGCCCCGGGCUCAACCUGGGAACGGCAUCCGGAACUGUCAAGCUAGUGUGCAGGAGAGGAAGGUAGAAUUCCCGGUGUAGCGGUGAAAUGCGUAGAGAUCGGGAGGAAUACCAGUGGCGAAGGCGGCCUUCUGGACUGACACUGACACUGAGGUGCGAAAGCGUGGGUAGCAAACAGGAUUAGAUACCCUGGUAGUC